GGGCUUUGUGCUGCGCGGCAUUGUGCGUCUCGGGGCGCCUUUCGGAGGCGCCAGCCAGGCCCCCCUGCGCCUCUCCGCCGGGCGCGCGCCGGCGCGCAAAAGGGGGCCGAAGGGGGGACUUGGAGAGGCUCCAGAGCGCGCGCGCGCGCGGGGCUGGUCUGCGCGGAAUUUGGAAUAUCCUUGAAGAGACCCUGCUUUCAUGUGGCCAUAUGUUAGCCAAAACAU